rnacentral:rRNA from 1 species
UACGUAGGGGGCUAGCGUUAUCCGGAAUUACUGGGCGUAAAGGGUGCGUAGGUGGUUUCUUAAGUCAGAGGUGAAAGGCUACGGCUCAACCGUAGUAAGCCUUUGAAACUGGGAAACUUGAGUGCAGGAGAGGAGAGUGGAAUUCCUAGUGUAGCGGUGAAAUGCGUAGAUAUUAGGAGGAACACCAGUGGCGAAGGCGGCUCUCUGGACUGUAACUGACGCUGAGGCACGAAAGCGUGGGGAGCAAACAGGAUUAGAUACCCUGGUAGUCCCUGAG